rnacentral:rRNA from 1 species
CAGUCGCCGCGGUAAUACGGAGGGUGCAAGCGUUAAUCGGAAUUACUGGGCGUAAAGCGCACGCAGGCGGUCUGACAAGUCAGAUGUGUAAUCCCCGGGCUUAACCUGGGAACUGCAUUUGAAACUGUCAGGCUGGAGUCUUGUAGAGGGGGGUAGAAUUCCAGGUGUAGCGGUGAAAUGCGUAGAGAUCUGGAGGAAUACCGGUGGCGAAGGCGGCCCCCUGGACAAAGACUGACGCUCAGGUGCGAAAGCAUGGGGAGCAAACAGGAUUAGAUACCCCUGUAGUCCCUGUCUCUUAUAC